UACGAAGGGGGCUAGCGUUGCUCGGAAUCACUGGGCGUAAAGGGUGCGUAGGCGGGUUUUUAAGUCAGGGGUGAAAUCCUGGAGCUCAACUCCAGAACUGCCUUUGAUACUGAAGAUCUCGAGUCCGGGAGAGGUGAGUGGAACUGCGAGUGUAGAGGUGAAAUUCGUAGAUAUUCGCAAGAACACCAGUGGCGAAGGCGGCCAACUGGUCCGGUACUGACGCUGAGGUGCGAAAGCGUGGGGAGCAAACAGG
rnacentral:rRNA from 1 species